rnacentral:rRNA from 1 species
AACGUAGGAGACAAACGUUAUCCGGAAUUACUGGGCGUAAAGGGCGCGUAGGCGGCCUGCUAAGUCGGACGUGAAAUCCCUCGGCUCAACCGGGGAACUGCGUCCGAUACUGGUGGGCUCGAAUCCGGGAGAGGGAUGUGGAAUUCCAGGUGUAGCGGUGAAAUGCGUAGAUAUCUGGAGGAACACCGGUGGCGAAGGCGGCAUCCUGGACCGGUAUUGACGCUGAUGCGCGAAAGCCAGGGGAGCAAACGGG